rnacentral:lncRNA from 1 species
GAACAUCACAGUCUCACCCAGAACACUGUAUCCUGACAGGCUUUCUCCCAUAUUGACUUUCCUUCCAAGCAUGGCUAGCCAGGUGAGCCUUCCACAUGAUUCAUGGAUAAAAGGAAGUGCCCUCCCUAUUCAGGAAUGGAUAAUUGCCAUCACAUACCAGUGGUCAGCAGAGAGUAGCUAGUAAGGCAAGAUCAGAUAAAGUAAGCCUCCCUCUACCCCAGUCCUUUGUAAGCAGUAGGAACCUUUUAAAGACUACAAUUGUAAGGCCAUCUCCUCUGUGCCACUCUCCCCACACACCCACAGCUUCCUUAAUUGGCUCACAUGUUUAUCUAUCCCACUAAGUACAUGAGGAAUGGACACAGUUAUUUCUGCCCUGAAGGAACUCAGAAGAGUGGGAAGGAUGAGCAGUCAACAAUUAUAUGCAGCCUGGUAUGACAUCAGUUGACACAAAAGACAUGUUUUCUUCAGCCUGCAUCAUUUAUGGAACAUUCUCAGAGUAUGAUGGUGAGGCUGCCCUCAAAGGUAAAAAAAAAAAGUAGCAGAAAAUUUGGUGUGUUUCAGACAUUGUAAAAGAUUUGCUAUCUAAAUUGUACAUAUUGCCACCUUGUUAGUCAGGGUUCUCCAGAGAAAUUGAAUAGAAUGAAACUAAUGGAAUGAAAAUAGGGGGAGGAGGGAAAUAUUGAUGGGGUUUAUUAGAAUGGCUGGCAGGCUGUGGUCCAGCUAAUCCAGCAAUGUCUGUAACCAACUAAAAGUCUGAGAAUCUAGUAGUUCUCCAGUCCACAAGGCUGGAUGUCUCAGCUGCUCUUCUGUAUCUUCAGGAAUUCUGAAGUGGGCUCUAAUACCAAUGAAGGAAUGGACUGGCCAGAAAUAGCAAGGACAAGCAGGCAAAGAGCAGAUAUUUCCUUCUUCCAGGUGCUUUAUACAGGCUACCAUCAGAAGGUGUAGUGAAACUUAAGGUGGAUAUUCCUACCUCAAAAGAUCCAGAUUUAGUUUUGCUGAAAGGACCCUGAUAUAGCUGUCUCUUGUGAGGCUAUGCCAGUGCCUGGCAAAUACAGAAGUGGAUGCUCAGAGUCAUCUAUAGGAUGGAACACAGGGCCCCCAAUGGAGGUGCUAGGGAAAGUACCCAAGGAGCUGAAGGGGUCUGCAACUCGAUAGGUGGAACAACAAUAUGAACUAACCAGUACCCCCCA